rnacentral:tRNA from 1 species
GCCCGAGUGGUGGAACUGGUAGACGCGCGGGACUCAAAAUCCCGUCCCGGCAACGGGGUGACGGUUCGACUCCGUCCUCGGGCA